AAUGAACGCUGGCGGCGUGCCUAACACAUGCAAGUCGGAUGUGCCGCAAGGUGCAUGGCAGACGGGUGAGUAACGCGUGGGGAACCUACCUCUUUGUGGGGAAUAACGUUCCGAAAGGAAUGGUAAUACCGCAUGAGACCACAGGCUGGGAUGUUUGGGGUGAAACCCGGGGACCGAAAAGCCUGGGGCAAGGAGAGGGUCCUGCGUCUGAUUAGCUAGUUGGCGGGGUAACGGCCCACCAAGGCGUCGAUCAGUAGCCGGCCUGAGAGGGUGAUCGGCCACACUGGAACUGAGACACGGUCCAGACUCCUACGGGAGGCAGCAGUGGGGAAUUUUGCGCAAUGGGCGAAAGCCUGACGCAGCAACGCCGCGUGGGUGAUGAAGGUCUUCGGAUCGUAAAACCCUGUCGUCAGGGACGAAGGUUGCAUGUCUAAUAGAUGUGCAACUUGACGGUACCUGGAGAGGAAGCCCCGGCUAACUCUGUGCCAGCCGCCGCAGUAA
rnacentral:rRNA from 1 species